UGCUUAGGAAUCUGCCCAGUAGUGGGGACAACAGUCGGAAACGGCUGCUAAUACCGCAUACGCCCUACGGGGGAAAGCAGGGUAUCUUCGGACCUUGCGCUAUUGGAUGAGCCUAAGUCGGAUUAGCUAGUUGGUGGGGUAAAGGCCUACCAAGGCGACGAUCCGUAGCUGGUCUGAGAGGAUGAUCAGCCACAUCGGGACUGAGACACGGCCCGAACUCCUACGGGAGGCAGCAGUGGGGAAUAUUGGACAAUGGGGGCAACCCUGAUCCAGCCAUGCCGCGUGUGUGAUGAAGGCCUU
rnacentral:rRNA from 1 species